GCCGAAAGGCAAGAGUGCCCGCAAGGGAGCGCGGAGACAGGUGGUGCAUGGCUGUCGUCAGCUCGUGUCGUGAGAUGUUGGGUUAAGUCCCGCAACGAGCGCAACCCUCACCCCUUGUUGCCAUCAGGUGAUGCUGGGCACUCUAGGAAAACUGCCCCGGUCAACGGGAAGAAAGGCAGAAACGACGUCAAGUCAUCAUGCCCCUUACGUCCUGGACUACACACGUGCUACAAUGGCCGGUACAGAGGGAUGCUAGACCGCGAGGUAAAGCUAAACCCAAAAAGCCAGUCUAAGUUCAGAUUGGAGUCUGCAACUCGACUCCAUGAAGGAAGAAUCGCUAGUAAUCGCGUAUCAGCACGACGCGGUGAAUACGUUCCCAGACCUUGUACACACCGCCCGUCACACCACGAAAGCCAGCUGUACUCGAAGUCGCUGAG
rnacentral:rRNA from 1 species